CGCGUAGGCGGAUAUUCAAGUCAGAGGUGAAAGGCUACGGCUCAACCGUAGUAAGCCUUUGAAACUGGGAAACUUGAGUGCAGGAGAGGAGAGUGGAAUUCCUAGUGUAGCGGUGAAAUGCGUAGAUAUUAGGAGGAACAUCAGUGGCGAAGGCGGCUUACUGGACUGAAACUGACACUGAGGCACGAAAGCGUGGGGAGCAAACA
rnacentral:rRNA from 1 species